UACAGAGGGUGCAAACGUUGUUCGGAAUUACUGGGCAUAAAGCGCACGUAGGUGGUCCGCUAAGUCGCGUGUGAAAUCCCCCGGCUCAACCGGGGAAAUGCGCGUGAUACUGGCGGGCUUGAGAUCGGGAGGGGUGAAUGGAACUCCAGGUGGAGCGGUGAAAUGCGUAGAUAUCUGGAGGAACACCGGUGGCGAAAGCGGUUCACUGGCCCGACACUGACACUGAGGUGCGAAAGCUAGGGUAGCAAACGGG
rnacentral:rRNA from 1 species